rnacentral:rRNA from 1 species
AAUCCAUAGGUUAAUGAGGCGAACCGGGGGAACUGAAACAUCUAAGUACCCCGAGGAAAAGAAAUCAACCGAGAUUCCCCCAGUAGCGGCGAGCGAACGGGGAGGAGCCCAGAGCCUGAAUCAGCAUGUGUGUUAGUGGAAGCGUCUGGAAAGGCGCGCGAUACAGGGUGACAGCCCCGUACACAAAAGCGCAUGUGCUGUGAGCUCGAUGAGUAGGGCGGGACACGUGGUAUCCUGUCUGAAUAUGGGGGGACCAUCCUCCAAGGCUAAAUACUCCUGACUGACCGAUAGUGAACCAGUACCGUGAGGGAAAGGCGAAAAGAACCCCGGCGAGGGGAGUGAAAAAGAACCUGAAACCGUGUACGUACAAGCAGUGGGAGCACAGGUUUACCUGUGUGACUGCGUACCUUUUGUAUAAUGGGUCAGCGACUUAUAUUCUGUAGCAAGGUUAACCGAAUAGGGGAGCCGGAGGGAAACCGAGUCUUAAUUGGGCGUUAAGUUGCAGGGUAUAGACCCGAAACCCGGUGAUCUAGCCAUGGGCAGGUUGAAGGUUGGGUAACACUAACUGGAGGACCGAACCGACUAAUGUUGAAAAAUUAGCGGAUGACCUGUGGCUGGGGGUGAAAGGCCAAUCAAACCGGGAGAUAGCUGGUUCUCCCCGAAAGCUAUUUAGGUAGCGCCUCGUGAAUUCAUCUCCGGGGGUAGAGCACUGUUUCGGCUAGGGGGCCAUCCCGGCUUACCAACCCGAUGCAAACUGCGAAUACCGGAGAAUGUUAUCACGGGAGACACACGGCGGGUGCUAACGUCCGUCGUGAAGAGGGAAACAACCCAGACCGCCAGCUAAGGUCCCAAAGUCAUGGUUAAGUGGGAAACGAUGUGGGAAGGCCCAGACAGCCAGGAUGUUGGCUUAGAAGCAGCCAUCAUUUAAAGAAAGCGUAAUAGCUCACUGGUCGAGUCGGCCUGCGCGGAAGAUGUAACGGGGCUAAACCAUGCACCGAAGCUGCGGCAGCGAACGUAUCACUUAAAGCGAUUCAGCGGGUUACGAUUGACGGAGCGAAGCGACGUCAAAGCGUAUACAAAGUCGAGUCGGUUUAAGGAUACGUUCGUUGGGUAGGGGAGCGUUCUGUAAGCCUGUGAAGGUGGCCUGUGAGGGUUGCUGGAGGUAUCAGAAGUGCGA